rnacentral:lncRNA from 1 species
UGUAUGAGAACACUGUUGCCACUAGGACGAGUUAAGAUUUUGUUCAUUUUUUCCACAGUUGUUCUUAACAUUAUUGUAAGUAUUUUAAGAGGCAACAUUUACUAGAACCUGACCUAACCAACCAAAUAAACCUACCUAUCUUACCUAACUUCCUAGCCAGAGGGCAGACCCCCUGCCAUAUUAAACAGAAAGUACUUAUUUUAAUAUCUGGUACCAAUUAAAGCUACUUUGUUGAAGCGUUAUGGAGUACAGGUAAUUUACAUUUUUUUGUGGACAUUAGAGUACGCUCGGACCGAGUGGGUCGGUCGUAGACAGUCGACAGGCGGUGGCUCGGACAUCAUUUUAGUCAUAUGAUCAGUUUUUCACUCUUGCCCCACAAUUUCUCUCACCCUUCAUGCCCUGUCCACUACAGGUGACUUAUGUUCGUAGAGAAAACUAAAAAUAAUUAAAAUAAAAAGCGGUCUACUUAUAAUUAAAGUAAAAAGUUGUACUGUACUUACUAUGUGUGUAAUAAACCAGACCUAACUCCUGGUGGCAGUUUCCUCAGAUUACCAACAUGAACCAUAAUGUUGACUUAACUCCUGAUUUCAUUAUAGGUUUAAUGUUGUUGUUUCCUUUUGGGUUUUUCUUUCUCGUUUUGUUUUACCGUAGUUGUCAUUUUAAUUGUUUUCAACUUUUUACCAUUAAUUAUCUCUGGUGCCAUGUUACAGGUCUUACUCAUUGUUUUCAGGUUUGUUACGGUCUUUAUUAAUGUUUUUUAGGGUUAUGUUACAGGUCUUAAUUAUGUUGUCAAGUAAUCUUAUUUUUGUAUUUACUUUCUUACAGGUUUUUUUCAUAUUGCAAUAUUAUUCUUUCCAAUCUUUCAACAGCUUAGUCACUCCACCAUUGAACUGUUGUAUUCAGUUCACACCAUUUUGACUCGUACAGGCCUACCAAACCGUGCAAAAUUACGAGAUGAAUUAUAUGAAACUAUGCGACCGGUGCGAUCCAUCUACUAAAUGUAUGAGCGGACUCUGACAAUACGUAUUGCAUCGACUCGUCUUAAACCGUGCGAAAGAUCCGUGUGGAUGUAAUAUGAUCCGCUUGCCCUCCGCUACAUAACUAAUUAUGCAGUUGUUUGUUGGCUUCUUACCAGGUCAAGUGGUGCACUGUGCUGCUGUAGUUUCAGGAAUGUUUAACAGGCACCCUGCUACUGUGCAUUACCAGCAUGAUUACAGUACUGUAGUAGUUUAAUUCAUUGUUAUAUUUUGUUAUAUUUUGUAUGAGUAAACUGCUGUAUUUAGUAUGUAUACAGGCUGCAUUGUACAUUAUUGUAUUAAAUGUAUUUACCACAAUGUAUAGUGUAUUGUAGGACCAUCUUAGCAUGUGUAAGUUGACCUUACUUAAUACAGUAUUGUAGUUUUAUUAUUUGUAGUGUUGACAAUUUGUACCAUUUAAUAAUGUAGCAGUAGUUGUGUCGGUGCUUGUCAGUACUUCUCAACAGUAACAGCCGUGACCGACCGCCCAAGCAGCUAACGAGCCGAUCAAUGGUGAAGAGGAUAAAGAAGAUGACCCCCUGGAUGACUGUGCCCUGCAAGAAACACAGGCAGCCAGGGCUCCCACUACAUCAAUACCUGGAUUAAUCACAAAAUGGUGAUAAGUAAAUGUUUCUUUUUAUAUUAAAAUCUAAAAUCUUGAGAACCCAAAAAAAUGAAAUAAAACAAAUAAUUCACAUUACAACAGCUGUGUACAUAAGGGUCCAGUCAGAAUUUUUUUUGGGGGGGGGGACAUUUUAUUGUUUUAAAUUUAUUAUUGACUCAUUUUUGAUGGAUUUUAGCUCGAGUGUGUCUACUAAUCCUAUAGUUUGGCCGCCAUCUUGGAAAAUGAAGGUGAAUAUAUACAUGUACUGCCUGAGGUCCUCUAGACUCAUGGUGACUGUUUCAUCACUGGUUAAGACUGUUUCAUAGCUGAAUGAUUCGUGUCUACGGUCCUUCUUGCUUGGAGUGUGUUUGAACAGAGGGUUCCAAAUCUGAUGCUGGUGUUGGGUUUGGAGCAAUCUUCUAAUAAGGCUGGGAGUUUUACUAUCUUUUAUUCCAAAGCAGCACUGUCAGGUCAGCCAUCCUUGCCUCUGGCAGCUACAAUGGAACAAUUUAUCUGUUCCCAAGCUAUUGCCAGAUUACAAAAAAGAUUAUCUGUGUAAACCUCCUUGGAUGCCCUGCCACUGAGGCUGCUGUUACCCAUCUGUUGUGUACACUCACCCCACCCACAGUUUCCUUAUGGCCAGAGGACCACAGCCCUAUUGUGAUGACUGCCUGAUAGUGUCCGUCAUGGGGACUUGAGACAUUUUCUGACCAAGUGCUGACAGGAGGAUGGUUCCUUCUCCAUCUCAAAGGUUCUCAGUGAUGCUGUAUCCUGAGAUGCUGAACCAUAGACUCAACCUUACCAGAAGCAGGCUGUGAUGGCUGGUGGUGAUGGCUGGCGGUGAUGGCUGGCGGUGAUGGCUGGCGGUGAUGGCUGGCGGUGAUGGAGACUGAACAGACCAUGAGGAGUAAACCAGGAUGACUA